ACCUGCAGUUGGUUGCUUGUUUCCCCGACCAUAUGGGCCUUUGCCUCCAUUCUAAUUAUUCCUCGGGCACUUGUCAUUGCUAAUGUAAGAGCUCAAAAAUCCCUUUUUUAUAAAAGCUUCGAUUUCCCGCUUUAAGGCCAAAUAGUCUUCCGUUGUAUGCCCUUGAUCUCUCUGGAAAUCACAGUAUUUAGUCGUCACGAGUAUCAGGGGGAGACCGCAAUCGGGGAGGCCACUUCAUUUCUCUCGAGUCCUUGAUUUCCAUCAGGAUGUUGGACCUUGAAGUGUUCAAAUGGGUAAAGGACGUUGAGGUUGGGUCUUUCCUUGGUUUGACCCUAGGUGUAUCUUGUCUCAAGCUGGACUCAUGUGGCCUUUUCUGAUCCAACCUUCCUGAUGAGGAAACUUCCCUUAUUGGGGCCAUGGUUUCUUCCAUAUUGAUGUACUUCUUAGCUCGUGUGAGUAACUCGGUGACUGACUUCGGCGAGGUCUUAGACAAGGACAUCUUGAAUGCUUUGCACUUAAUGGCAUAUGUCAGAGUAGAGAUUGCAGCUGUAAUAUGUAGAUCGGGGAUCUGAAGCCUUCCUUUAUUGAACCUGGUCAUGAAACUGCGUAGUGUUUCAUUGGGUCCUUGACACAUCUGCAUGAGUGAUGCGGCUGUCUUUCUGAUUCGCUUACUGCUCGCAAAGAAAGCGGAGAACUUAUCGAUCAAAUCUGAGAAGGAGGCGAUAGAGUUCGGUUUCA
rnacentral:lncRNA from 1 species